rnacentral:rRNA from 1 species
UAAGACAGAGGAUGCAAACGUUGCUCGGAAUUACUGGGCGUAAAGCGCUUGUAGGUGGUUCGGUAAGUCAGGUGUGAAAUCCCGGGGCUCAACCCCGGAAGUGCAUUUGAUACUACCAGACUUGAGUACUGAAGAGGAGAGUGGAAUUCCCGGUGUAGAGGUGAAAUUCGUAGAUAUCGGGAGGAACACCAGUGGCGAAGGCGACUCUCUGGGCAGAUACUGACACUGAGAAGCGAAAGCGUGGGGAGCAAACAGGAUUAGAUACCCUGGUAGUCCACGCUGUAAACGAUGACGACUGGGUGUUUCGGGUAUUGACUCCCGAGGUGCCGAAGCCAACGCGUUAAGUCGUCCGCCUGGGAAGUACGGCCGCAAGGCUA